UUCAUUUGUAACGAACUUUUAUUCUGAUAGUUAUCACAGUGAAAUAGAAAAUGAGAGCAUAAUACCCCUUUUCCCAAUUUAUGUUCAUUUUCUCUCUUUGAUUCUUGAUUGCUCGAUGAUGAAAUUGAUAGAUUCAAUAUGGUAUCAAUCGUUUUUUCCAUCAAUUCUUGCGUUUUCUCUACCAAUUUGUAAUUAUUGAUCAUAUUUUUAUGCAUUUCUUACCCUAAUUUUUUUCAUUUGCAAUUAUCGUUCAUAAAAGAUCAACAACAUAAUCCGUUUUUCAUCCAUCUUUUGGAUCAUCCAGGUCUCAAUUAGGUUUCUCACCUCUUGACUGAAGAGAAUUACUCCUCAUGGUGUCAUGCGAUUCUCAUCACACUCAGUGCAAAGACCAAAAUAGGAUUCAUUAGAUGGGUCGAUUCUACAACCUCCUGAUGAUAUGCAAUAUCUUAUUUGGCUCCAUAAUAAUAACAUUGUUGCUUUGUGGCUCUUGAAUUUUUCUCCAAGGAUCUCACUAUUAGCAUCAUUUUCUCAUCCAUUGUAGCGAUGACUUGGAGCAAUCUCGAAGAGCACUUUCUUUAGAACAACGGUGUUCAUCUGUUUUAGCUUCGCAAGGAUUUCAUCACAUGCAUUGAACAAUAUCUCUCUGUUGGUGCUUAUUAUUCAAAAUUGAAAGGACUUUGGGAGGAAUUUUCUAAAUUUUGACCUAAUCAUCAUUGUGUUAGUGGUGGUGUGAGUCAUUGUUUGUUUUAUCUUCGCAAGGAUUUCAUCUCAUGCACUGAAGGAUCUCUCUUUGUUGAUGCUUAUUAUUCGAAAUUGAAAGGACAUUAGGAGGAAUUGUCUGAAUUUUGACCUAGUCAUCAUCAUGUUUGUGGUGGCGUAAAUCCUCUUGUUGAUCACAUCAAUUGUGAACACGAUCUCACUUUCUUGCUAGGUUUGCAUGAAUCUUUUAAUUAUAUUUACAGUCAAAUCAUACUCAUAGAUAUGUUGUCUUCUAUUAGUCGUAUGUUCUCUCUCUUCAUUAAAGAGAAGAAGCAACUCCAUUAAUAUCAUCUCUACUCCAAUUGUGGAAUGAUAUCUUGCUUCUGCAAUUCAAGACUCUAAUGGAACUAAGUUUUGUUUUGGCAAGAAAGAACGUCAUCUCUACACUUAUUGUGGUGUUCUAGGUCUAGUCAAGGUAUUAUACUACACUUAAGUUAGUUUAAUUGUUUUGUGCUUACAUUCCUUGUAUAUAUAGCGAGAGAUAACUCAUAUGUAACAAACUUUUAUUCUGAUAAUUGUCACGGAGAAAU
rnacentral:lncRNA from 1 species